UGUGUAGGAGGCAAGUGCUCUUGCCACUAGGCCAUAUUCCCAGCCCCUCUGAAUGUUUCUUUGGAAAACGGGCUUUUUAACUUUGGAACGCUAAGGCAUUAAGACUACCAUAUUUCCCAUUAUAAAAUUGAACAAAUCUUUAGCUCUUAACACCCAAAAGGUUUUGCCUAGGACAGGCCGUGGUGAUAUAAAUUAAGUGUGGUCCUUUUUUUUAAAAAAUCUAACCUGACACCAGGCCUCAUCUGUAGAGCUGGAGUUUGAGACAGUCUUGGCUACCAACACAGGCUAAUUCCUAAAGGAAAGUUUGUUUUGUGUUUUAAACUACGUUAAGGUCAAAGUCAUGCACCCUUAAAACCAAGCCAUCAUCUUGGGCAUGUUACUGUUGGCCUGCUUUGUUAAUGAGACUGGUAACUAUAAAGAAGUGUGAAGAAACCACUGAAGACUGCCUGUCAUUUACUGCUGUUAAUCUACAUUAAUCUGAGAAUGUGAAGAGAAAUUUGAGAAUGCAGUGGAUUAUACCAAGCUGUAGUGAAAAUGCAAAGAUCUGUAACUUUUGAACUUGUUUUUAAGUGAUUGGAUUCCCUCUUAAGACUCUUUUCAAGUGUCUGCAUUAAAUAAAGUUCCUAGCAAAUAGCUAAAACUGGGUAAAUGUCUACUAACAUAAUAGCAAGUUAAGUAUACUGUUGACUUAUUUUUGGUCCAUAGUAAAUUCAUACUGUUCCAAAAUAAAUUUAUUGGUGUAUUGAGAAGCA